rnacentral:lncRNA from 1 species
CCGGCGGUAAGUGACCCGGACUCGGUACACAAGCAGGGUUGGCAAGGUGCAAAGCGGUACUUCUGGGCGGAGCAGGACAUCAGACUCAACCUCACCAGAUUUGCCCCCACGCUGCAUCAGCUGCUUCGAGCACUUCGGGAGUAGGGAAACGUGAUACUACUACCUCUAUUCCUAAAUGUAAGAUAUUUUGGCAGUUUGAAUUUAAGCUGCCAAAACGUUUUAGGGUGUAGGUUACAAGAAGCGUGCUUAAGCACACAAUGGGAGCAGAGAGAGCUUGCUUCUUUCUUGUUGUUUCAAUCAUCAGAUCAAUAGACAGGAAUUAAGCACAAGACUUAAGCACGUGCAUGACAUUGGCAUGACCUCCUUAACUACUCUUGUAUUUUUUUUCCUUUUUUGAGAAUAACAAAUAAGUCAAAUUUGAGCUGCAAGUGCAUGAAAUGUUUUGCAAAAUUUGGUGAAUUAUUUUUAUUUGUGGUCUUUAUUCUAUGUUUAGGCCUUAUCUAAGAAAAGGAAAUGAAGUUCAAACAUCUAAAUGUCAAUUACUUCAUCUGUUGAGCAUCAAUUUUUUUUGUACACUCAAGAUGCACCAUUACAUGACGAAUGCAAAAUUUAGAUUUGUUUGGGGUAUGUUUGCUAUAUUUAGGUCAUUAACUGCAUUUCUAGGCAUUCAGUGCAUAUAAUUCAAAUUUAAACUACAAAUGCAUGAUUUGUGCCUUUGUUGCAAAAUUAGGUUACAAAAACCUAUUUGUGUUCUUUAGUCAAUGUUUAGGUCUUAUCCAAGAAAAGGAAAGGAUUUCCAAACAUCUGGGUGCUAGGACUCGACCCUGAACAUGUAGGUUCUUUUUUUAUAAUAAAAAAUGUGAAGGAAGUGGGAAAAACAUGAAACUUGGCAUGGUGCGCUCAUAUGACAUCAAUAUAUUGAGGUGAAAAAUUGAGAAGGUUCCACAAAAUUUGUCACCUACACUGAUUAGAAACCUGACCAUCUCCAAGAAAGAAUCUAAGUUUCGGGAGGGAACAAGUCAGGUUUGAAAAGAAAGUAGUGGUUGCUUUAUCGGUUGAGUUUGAAAUUGUUUUUACACUCAAGAUACACCAUUCAAUUACACAUAAAGACUUAUGUUAAAGUCCUUCUUAGGGUUGUGUGGGGUCAAGGUACUGCUGGCGCCGUGGUUUACACUCAAGAACCGCCUUGGUUUAUACACUCAAGAACCGAUUAUAAAGACUUACAUUAAAGUCCGUUCUUUUAUGUUGCAACAAUAAUAUACUCAAAAUUUCCACAUGAAUUACACGAAACUUGCACUCUUCUGUGCUAUGAAAUAAUAAGUGUAAACUAGUGCAACUUCAAUAAUAGUUAUGACUAGAAAAAUUAGUUAUAUUAUAAGUUCCAAAUAAAAGAUGGUCUCACAAGAUUGCAACAUCAAAUUAACUAGGCAAUAACAAAUAAGAGAGCCAGAAACAUUAGCACAAGCAAAUAAAAAAAAGUCAAGCUAGAUAUUUUUAUGAGUAAACAAAGACAUAUACAAAAACAAAAAUAUGUGUUAUUCAAACAAAACAAAAACAAAAACAUGUGUUAUUCUAAAGUAGAAUUAAUUAAGGGCAUUGAUAUUACCCUAAAAAUAAAGAAACAAAAACAAAGAAGCAAUUUCUUUCCAAGAAGUAAUGAAUUAUGGGAGUGAAAGAAAACAAGAAUUUAAAUAGAGUUAACAUUAUACAACUAUGCUUAAUAUGAACAAAUCAUAAAUACUUAGAAUUAAACUUUGUGUUAUAUGCAAGAAUUAUAUCAUAUUGAGAACUUGCACAUGAAUUACACAAACUUGCACUCUUUCGUAUUGUGCAAUAACAAAUAUAAACAAGUGAAAUUAAGUAACAAUUAUGAUCUAAGUUGAUUAAUUACAAAUUUGGAUUUCAUUUUAAGUUUUUAACCUAGUGUCAUAGGAUUGAGCAUCAAACCAUUGACCUACUUGUGCAUAUAUAGGGUCAAGGAGAAGCAUAGGCAACCGUCUUUUAGGUUGGUUGCGUGCCCUUCCCUAGUUGUUUCCUUGUUUUCUGUUUUCCUUAUUAGUAUUGUGUACCUAUUUUGUACUAACAUUAUUUCCUUUAAUUAAAAUUUGUUGUAGGAGCAUCUCCUACAGUUUCGGUCAAAAAAUCAAAUAUCGCUAUAAAAUCAUUAUCUCACCAUGAGGCUGGCUCCUGCCUGAGCUGCUGUCUAGAGGAAAGUCAAGCGGGAGGGCACGUCCUGCACACAUGGGCAAGUGCACCCGCUUUUCAAAAAAUGCAUCUUAAGUACGUUUUAAAAUGUCAAAAUAUUCAAAAGAAAACUUCAAAUAUACAUGUUCGCAAACGUGUGUGCGCGGUACAAAGUUUUAUAAAAAAACGUAUUUUUGUUUUGUCUCCGAAAAAAGACAAAUUAUACUGUUUCUAAAUAGUGUUUCACGACACAAUUUUUUGUCUCUUCUAUACGGGACACAAAAAAAAGUUAUUUUUCCGUGAAAUUAUGCACUCACAUAGAACAUGGAGAUGUACCCGUGCAACCUUUUUCAGAUUUUUUUUAUCAUUUAAAAAUGUGUUUUUCAAAGUGAAUUCAUAUGUACCACUUCCCAAAGUCAAGCUCACGUUAUCUUUGCAUCUUGCCAAGUCCAAGGAGGUUCGGAUUGCAUUAUUAGGCCUCCAUCAAGCUCGGCUUUGCACCGAUCUCCGUGAGCUGUUGGAACUUCAUCUUGAAGGGCCUUGUCUCAAUCUCCAAAAAAAAAGGAGCAAGUUAAAAGCACCCGCUGUCCUUUGGAACUUUUUGAAAAACAGAAAUGCGUGCAGCUAUUUUUGGAAAGGACCUUGUUCAAAUCAAAUUCUCAAGCGGGUCUCGGCAAAUCAAAUUCUCAAAUUCCGCGACAAGGACCAACGAGAAAGAUUCACAGAUUACAACAAUUAAAAUUAAACUUGAAAGGCCGGGCGAUGAUUCUUCAUGUUCAUUCCUUGUAUGUGUGCUAUGGAAGCGGUGGAAUGGAUCGAUCAUUGUCACGAUUCAUGCAUGGUUUUUCUCCACGGCAGCAACUAGAUGUCGCACCCUGUUGACGAAGCUCCCAAGGUUCCUCUCCGACGGGCCGUCCGCGGCCAUCGCCUGUCGCGCCUUCUCCUGGUAAGCAGCGGCAUUGGUCUUGACCUUGGCGGCCGUCCCGCCGUCACCCAUCACCAGCUCCACGCACCUCGCCAGCUCCACGCCGGGCAGCAGUCCCUCCGCGUCGCGCUCCGCCCGGACGCCGACGCCCCACUCCUCCACCAGAUGCGCGUUCAACGACUGGUCCGACCAGCCCGGCACCGCGACGGGUGGCACACCGGACGCCACGGCCUCCAGCGUCGAGUUCCACCCGCAGUGCGUGACGAAGCACGCCACCGAGGGAUGCGCCAGCACCCGCAGCUGAUCGCACCACUCCACCACCAUCCCCGUGCUCUCGUCGUCCUCGGCGCCCGUCCCCAUGAUGAGGCGCUCCACCUCCUCCAUGCGCCCUUCACGGCGCACCACCCAAAGGUAGGCCCGCGCGCAGCACCGCAGGCCACGCAGGAUCUCCUCCGCCUGCCGCUGGCUGUACGUCCCCAAGCUCCCAAAGGAGACGUACACCACCGACUUGGCCGGCUGCGAGUCCAGCCAUUCCAUGUACUUCUUCUCGUCUCGCCGGAACAGAUGGAUCGCUUCUUCUCCGGCACCGGCAGGAGGAACCGUCGGGCCCACGGCGAUGACAUCCAGGUGUGACUGUAAUGCCUUUAGCGACGUCGCCUCUAGCUCUAGGGCGUCGCACGUGUUCACCAGGACCAUGGCCUUGUCCUGCUCGAUCUGCUCGAAUAGUUCACCGAACCCUCGGAGAUACAUCUUGGAGGCCUCGUCCUUGUCAAUGAUUAAAGAUGGCAUCUCGCGGAUGCUAAGAGGGUGCAGACCUGGUAGGCUAACCACGCAUGCCGUGUCGGCGGCACGGGAGUUGAUCAUCUCCGCGUGGCCGUGGAAGUAGUGGUAGUAUGUGGCGAGAGUUGUCGCCGGCUGGACCCAGAAGACGGCGAACGGUAUCCUGUGCUCGCGUGCAACGUCGAUGGCCGGCGGCAUGUUGAGCGUGGACACCAUGCACGUGACCGGCCGGCCUUCGGCGGCGAGACGGCCGACCACGGCAGAGAGGCUCUCGGCGCUUGCUCUGCGGCGCCACGUCCUCUCCUCCCAGUCCUUGGCCCAGCUGCCGUCGUCCUUGCCGUCGGAGAAGGGGAUGUAGGAGAUGGCACCGUCGUUGACCUCCUCGUCGGAAGCAAGUGUGCGGCGGUGGCCGAAGAUUGGCAUCGACAGAGUCACGGUGGCGCCGCCGAUGCCGGCGAGACGGCGGGCAAGGCAACGCGCCGGGUUGAGGUGGCCCUGCAUGCUGUAGACCGCCACGAGGAAAUGGAUGUGGCCAUCGCCAUAGUUGUUGCGAUAGCGCCCUUGGCAUAUCUCCUUGGCCAUCACCAUCAGGGGCUAUGUGUUGUUAAGAGAUGCUCUCUCUCUCUCUUUCUCUCUCUCUCUCUCUGUGUAUUUUCCUUUUUGACGGGAGACAGCCUGAACCUAUAUUAGCCAGGAUGAGAUCACAACAUUCAGGGAGUUACAUGGGGUGAAGAGAAAGGAAGAUUACAAUGGGCAACAAAUAGCAAAUUAGAGCAAGUAGAAUUGCAUCGUUAUCUUGUUCAAGGCGUUGAUCGGAUAUGCUCAUAUUUGUGUUCCAGGUGAAAUUAAAGCGUAGAAUCCGAGCUUCCGUGGUUGGAUCUGAUGUAUGCGUUACUGUUGGAUGUGUGCAUCCUAACUAUGCAGAAACUGGAUGUCUACUCAUUAUGUUUGCAUCUUCUUGAAGCUUUAUUUUGAAUAAAUAAAAUCCGCCCUUUAUCGAAAAGAGCAAGUACAAUAGCAUUGCUUAUAGCCGAAAAAUGCACAUAAGCUCCUCGGUGCUCGAACCCCCAUAUGAAUAUCAAAUUCAAAAAAUACCAGGAGAAUUCAGAAAAACCUGAAAUAUUUGGAUAUCAGACCCGCGUGCCCAAUCUACCCCGGCCCCAUGUGAAAUUUAUGAAAAAAUACCAAGAAAUGUAUCUGUAACGAAGAAAAUACAGUCCGAUCUAAAAUCCACCUGAACAGUUUUUUCUGUACAUAGGAUUUUUUUUGUCUUUUCUUUUUAGCGGGAUAAUUUUUUGUUUUUUUACUGAGAGUACCACGAAUGUUAUUAUGAGCCGUCUAACCCUGAUGCAUUAUACUAACUUAUGAUAGCAUGCUUAUACCCGCUAAUACCGUAUGUAUGAUACUAACUUAUGAUCCUAUGCAUUAUGGGCAGUCUAACCCCGAAGCAGAUGCAGAAAUGCUUUUGCCUGGCAACUGACGCUGUGUUAGAGAUGACCCGCACAGUUAUUGAUGCCAUUGGGUAUGUGAUGGGACUUAAUGACACCGUAGGUCAACUCAAGCUCAGAAUUAAUGGGAUAUGAGAUAAUGGAUUAAACUAAACUGCGCUCAUUAGUGUGCCCGCGUUUGAAAAUGAGAUCCACAUAAAGUAUCUAUUGUAAGAGCUUGGAGACCAUGUGCUGCCACUCGGAUGGUCAAAUGCAGCCUUUCAUUAACAAAGAUAUUUGACAACCCUAGAUGACGCGGGGAGAUUUCUAAGCAUGAGAGCCAAGUGAUCAACCAGCCUGCGAGUGCCAGAGCUCACGCAGUACCCAGCUUACCUUGAACAACUCUCGACCUCAGACAAUAACCACAGUCCAUGGUCGACAAAAUAAUAGUGCGCCAGUGGAGCCAUGGAUUUAAAAAAAAAAGGAGAUUAAAACCCCCGUCUCUGCAUCACCAGAUUUGCUCCCACGCUGCAUCAGCUGCUUCGAACACUCCGGGAAUAGGGAAACUAGAUACGUGAUACUAUUACCUCUGUUCCUAAAUGUAAGAUAUUUUGGCAGUUUGAAUUUAAGCUGCCAACACGUUUUAGGGUGUAGCCGUG